GUCGAACGGGAGACUUCGGUCUCUAGUGGCGGACGGGUGAGUAACGCGUGAGAAUCUGCCUUCAGGACGGGGACAACAGUUGGAAACGGCUGCUAAAACCCGAUGUGCCUACGGGUGAAAUAUUUAUAGCCUGAAGAGGAGCUCGCGUCUGAUUAGCUAGUUGGUAGGGUAACGGCUUACCAAGGCGACGAUCAGUAACUGGUCUGAGAGGAUGACCAGUCACACUGGGACUGAGACACGGCCCAGACUCCUACGGGAGGCAGCAGUGGGGAAUUUUCCGCAAUGGGCGCAAGCCUGACGGAGCAAUACCGCGUGAGGGAGGAAGGCUCUUGGGUCGUAAACCUCUUUUAUCAGGGAAGAACACAAUGACGGUACCUGAUGAAUAAGCAUCGGCUAACUCUGUGCCAGCAGCCGCGGUAAUACAGAGGAUGCAAGCGUUAUCCGGAAUUAUUGGGCGUAAAGCGUACGUAGGUGGCGUUUCAAGUCUGUGGUUAAAGCCUGCAGCCUAACUGCAGAAAGGCCAUGGAAACUGACACGCUAGAGUGCGAUAGAGGUAAGGGGAAUUCCCGGUGUAGCGGUGAAAUGUGGAGAUAUCGGGAAGAACACCAGCGGCGAAAGCGCCUUACUGGGUCGCAACUGACACUGAGGUACGAAAGCCAGGGGAGCAAAUGGGAUUAGAUACCCCAGUAGUCCUGGCCGUAAACGAUGGACACUAGGUGUUGCGCGUAUCGACCCGAGCCGUGCCGAAGC
rnacentral:rRNA from 1 species